rnacentral:rRNA from 1 species
GAUGAACGCUAGCUACAGGCUUAACACAUGCAAGUCGCGGGGCAGCAUGGGAGUUGCUUGCAAUCCCCGAUGGCGACCGGCGCACGGGUGAGUAACGCGUAUCCAACCUGCCCUUCACCACGGGAUAACCCGGCGAAAGUCGGACUAAUACCGUAUGUUGUCCAUUGACGGCAUCCGAUUUGGACGAAAGGUUUGGCGGUGAAGGAUGGGGAUGCGUCCGAUUAGCUGGACGGCGGGGUGACGGCCCACCGUGGCGACGAUCGGUAGGGGUUCUGAGAGGAAGGUCCCCCACACUGGAACUGAGACACGGUCCAGACUCCUACGGGAGGCAGCAGUGAGGAAUAUUGGUCAAUGGGCGUAAGCCUGAACCAGCCAAGUAGCGUGCAGGAGGACGGCCCUAUGGGUUGUAAACUGCUUUUAUGCGGGGAUAAAGUGGCCCACGUGUGGGUUUUUGCAGGUACCGCAUGAAUAAGGACCGGCUAAUUCCGUG